UGGCUCUCCCCUUGAACACUGAGCAGAAGGCUGGGGCUCAGGGAGGCAGAGUGGAGGGGAAGGCAGGCUGGAGGAGAGGCAGGGAGAGGGAGAGCUGAGGCCGGGGUACGAGCUCCAAGGCUGGGGGGGAUAAGGGGAUGGCAAGCCAGGGGAUGCUGGGUGGAGGGAGGCGGGGGAGAAAGUGAGAAGGCGGGAGGGCAGGGGAUGCAGCCCAGCUAAGGUGAGAAAAGGUAAGGCAGUGGUGACUGAUAACAGGCCGCACUGAAUGCUAGUAGAAUUAGGUGACCAGGUAGCGAAGAUGGAGUGUUAGUGAAGAAAUAAAUGACUUGUCACAGAAAUAGUGUAGGUCAUAGUGUAGGAGGACAUUUAAUCUGCAGAAGUGUGAAGCCUGUUAGGAGGCUAGGCUGGAGGAUGGAGGGAAAAAAGAGAAACAAGACGCUUGCAACAAGACCAAAAGAAAAAAAAGGAGAGCCAGAAAAUCAGUAUUAGUGUUUUGUGAGUGUGGAGUCUCCUUUCCUUUUCCUGCCAUGGAUGUAAUGCUGGUUUGGAUUACAUCCAAUCAGAUGAGAGGACUGUGGCCCUUGUCAUAAUGACAAGCAUGACAUCAUGGCAAGGGCUAGCGGAGAGGAGACAGCGGAGAGCUCCAGACAGACGACGGGGCUGCACGCCGGGAUCUGCACGCCGACAAUCGCGCACCGGCUGCCGGGUCGAAAGCGCACGGACUACCAGGUGUUGGUGGUUGGUGGCUCGGGUCGGGGGGGAUACGAACGGAAAGUGCGGGCUGGGUGCCGGCAACUGGAGCUCUGCCCCGGACAGGCUGAGGCUCCAUCAGCGGUGGGAGAGAUAGACACGAAGGAGGCUGAGCGACAUGGCAACUUGUUUAAUUUCUGCCAAUCAAGACGAGAGGAAGACAACUCCCAAACUGGCAUGAUGUAACGAGAGAGUGAAGACGCGAGUGAGAGAGCGGGACAAUGGGAAACGGGAUGGCAAAAUGACAAAUGAGCUAAGUUGUUGGUCCGCUGUUCCUGCAGAGCCACCCGUGGUGUUGGGGGUCUCACAACAUUUCCUCUGUGUGUCCUCUUGAGCUGAGAUUGCUGCUUUGAGCCAGCAAGGAAACCAAUCGAAAUUUUUCCAGAGGGGAGCAGCGGCUGCUGUAAUCUCCACUGUUCAAUUAGCUGAAGUGACCGGGACGCCACCUACACUUCAUUAGCUGGAAGGCGAAGGUGAUGCUGACGGUGUAACAUCAGGCGAGUACGAGAGAUGGAGAAGAUGCUGACGUUUCCCAAAAAAACCCCACACAAGCCUACACGGACACACACAUGCAGGCACACAGUAAAUGGGAGUCUUCUGUCAGGAGUGUGAGUCAUUCCCUAGUGUAGAAAACUGAAUUAAAGUGAAUCAGGCUGAACUGAAAUGACCUGAGCUGAAAAGAAGGCUUCAGCUAGACAGCUCUCUGAAGGUGCUGAGGGAAAAAAAUUAGAUGACAAAUAAUUUGGAAAUAAUGCAGAUGGCACACUGUGGUUUCUCGAGGUGGCCUCGCUAGAUUUCCUGUUCUGCAUUCACUUAUUUCCUUUUUUCAUUUUCAUGUUUACAUUACGUUCUAUAACAUUUAUUAAACUGUCUCCGGACUCUCAGCAUUUGUGUCCGAUCUGUUUUUGUAUUUGAGCUUGUGCCAUAACCAUCAAAAGUGUACAUUAGUGCACUGUGACAUUUCCUUUUUUGUCUGUGUGCCAGCAGUCUGUUCAUUAUUGUGGAAUUAAAUAUUAGACACAGAAUUCGAUUUUUAAAAAUAAAUCUAGAGGUUAUUUUAAGCUAGCUGGUGCCGUUUCGUUUCAAAUCGUUUGUUUUUCUUUUUAACCACAACUGCACAAAAUUAGUCUUGCUUAAUAUUUUGUAAUGAUGGCAAAUUAUGGUUUUCCAUCUGAGCUUCACACUUGAUUCAAUUAAAGAGUGUUUGGAUAACCGGUACAGCAGAUCUGCUCUCUAAGCAACUCCAGAUUCAGUGACCUUUGCAUUUUGAGUUUAACUGAGACAUGACAAGAAAUAAAACAAGUAUGUGUUCAGUGUGAUCGUGCCAGUCAUAAGUUACUUCUUCACAAGCUGAUUUUUGACAUGGUUUAAAUGUGGGUUUAAUCACAAACUCUUCUUUUUUUAUUGUACCUUCUUGUUCUUGAAUCUUGCGCUCCACUGUGUAAAAGAUCAAAUAAAAAUUAAAAAAAAACAUUGUGAAAGA